rnacentral:tRNA from 1 species
UGCCCGGUGGUGAAAUGGCAUCACACCGCCCUUUGGAGGCGAGGUUCGAGGUUCGAAUCCUCGCCGGGCAGCCA